UGAGGUAUAGCUCAGUGGUAGAGUGCUUGCCGAGAAAGCACAAGGUCCUGGGUUCAACCCCCAGUACCUCCA
rnacentral:tRNA from 1 species